UACGUAGGGGGCAAGCGUUGUUCGGAAUUACUGGGCGUAAAGGGCUCGUAGGCGGCCAACUAAGUCAGACGUGAAAUCCCUCGGCUUAACUGGGGAACUGCGUCUGAUACUGGAUGGCUUGGAUUCGGGAGAGGAAUGCGGAAUUCCAGGUGUAGCGGUGAAAUGCGUAGAUAUCUGGAGGAACACCGGUGGCGAAGGCGGCAUUCUGGACCGAUAUUGACGCUGAGGAGCGAAAGCCAGGGGAGCAAACGGG
rnacentral:rRNA from 1 species